CCAGAGCCGAUUUCAGCGACGUGGUGCUUGAGACCUUGGACUUCAAUGAAUUUGUGUUGAAUUUGAUCCAUUUCAAGUCUUGAUUUUUGGGCAGAGAGGAUUUAAAGUUGACCUUUUGGGCAGAGAGAGAGAGAGAGAGAGAGAGAGAGAGAGAGAGAGAGUUGGAGUUUCGGAUUCAGUUUCAGGUGGAGGAGCAAGUGAGUUCAGUUGAAGAAGAUGUUUU
rnacentral:lncRNA from 1 species